UUAAUUGUCUGGAAGCUUCCAGUGCUCCUCCAGCAAUGCCAUCCCCUCCCCCGACCCCAGCCAGGCAUGGCCUCGGUUGGCCUGGAUUAUUAAUUAGGGCUUGGAGUCAUUUAACGAUGAUUUCAUUAUCGACGUGCUGUCUGUCUCGGGCUCAGCCCGGUUGCCAGGGCGACUCUGAUCGAUUGCCUUCCGGUCUCCUGCCUCUGCCCAGCCUGGCUGUGGACGACACCCCCUAGCGGCCGACGCUGGGAUUGCAGAGCAUCCAGGGCAAGGCUCGAAAACCGCCCUGGGGCAGAGAGAGAGUGUCUUCCAUCUUAUGGUUCAUUCCCCAAAUGCCUGCAGCAGCUGAGAGGGGCCCAGGCCUAAUCCAAGAGCCAGGAACUCCAUCCCGGUCUCCCAGGCCCAGCACGUAUUCUGAAUGAAGGAAGACUUUCCCACCCGGGCCGGCUGCCUCCUUCGGGUUUUGCCUCGUUCUCUCUCCGGAUCCUGCACCUGUCAGUGUCUCUGCCUCUCGGAGCAGGUGCUGAUGGCGGGCGAGGCGAGGAUGAGCUCCCUGCUAAUGAGCCUGGGAACGCAGUGGAAGAUGGCCCAAGUGCUUGGGCUCCUGCACCCAUAUGGGAGACCAGGAGGAAGCUCCUGGUUCCUGGCUUCAACCUGGCCCUGCUCCAGUUGUUUUGGCCAUUUGGGGAGUGAACCAGCAGAUGGAAGACCUCUUCUCACCCCUCUCUUUCUCUGUAACUGACAUUCAAAAAAAAAAAUGCUGUGUAAGGGCUUGUCUCACAUCCCAAGCAUAUUGUAUAUGAGCCAGUACUCAAUAAACCUCGAAACUUGAUGGCUGUCUCCUCUCUCUCGGAAUCCAUCGAUUUUAUGUGCAUGAUAGGCAUAGUUAUUGAUUGACAAGGGCCUGGCACAGAAGCUUGAAGUGAGACCGCCUUCUUGGGUCUCCGAGAGGCCAUUUGCUGCUGCCACACAAAACACCACCAAAACUUUGUAAGUCCUGAGUCCGUUGGCGUCUAAAGCUGCUCUCCACCCCACACACGUGGUCAGCACCCCGACACCAGAAGCGCAGACAACACCUCUCCACGCCUGACACCUGCUUUAUCGUCUGCACGUGGCAAAUGUCGACGUCUCGGCCGAGUUGCUCUAGCCCUCCAGCACGUCUUGGGCGACUUCUCUCCAUGAUCAGUUACCACGUGACGGGGUUCUGAAAUUUAAGUAGAAUCAGCUGGAAAGUCCCAUUUCCUUCAAAAAGUAUAUUCCCAGUGAGCAAAAAGUGAUUUCUGAAUUCUGUCCUUUUGGUUUUUCCCCUGUCGCUUUUUUCUUUUUCUUAUCACAGAAGUCACGAGGCAGAUGGGACGAGAAAGAACCCAGGGCCGA